UACGUAGGGCGCAAGCGUUAUCCGGAAUUAUUGGGCAUAAAGAGCUCGUAGGCGGUUUGUCGCGUCUGCCGUGAAAGUCCGGGGCUCAACUCCGGAUCUGCGGUGGGUACGGGCAGACUAGAGUGAUGUAGGGGAGACUGGAAUUCCUGGUGUAGCGGUGAAAUGCGCAGAUAUCAGGAGGAACACCGGUGGCGAAGGCGGGUCUCUGGGCCGAUACUGACGCUGAGGAGCGAAAGCGUGGGGAGCGAACAGG
rnacentral:rRNA from 1 species